rnacentral:tRNA from 2 species
GCGGGAAUAGCUCAAUUGGUAGAGCGGCAGCCUUCCAAGCUGUAGGUUGCGGGUUCGAGUCCCGUUUCCCGCUCCA